rnacentral:lncRNA from 1 species
UUUCACUUUCGAACGCUGUGCCGCUGAAAUUAGUCUCGUUUUGUAGAGGAAUUAACGGAGCAGUCUACGGUUGAGUCAUCAUUUAUUUCGUCUGAACGACGAAGGAGUGCGGAGCAGUUUAGUCGGCCAAAUCGAGUCGAUCUCGGGGUCUCGUAUGUAUCCUUUAUACGUUUUCUUGUUUUAGACGCUGUGCCGGAAAAAAUGACGUCUUCUUGUAAAAAGAUAACGCCGAGAUUAACGAAGAGAUCGUGUCAAUUAUCGGUUCAAUGAUAAAGGAGUACUGAGCAAUCUAAGAGCGACUCGAGUUUUUUUUCAGAGAGUUGGCAUGUCGCGUCGGUCACAAAGAUAGAGGAAAUGAGGUCGCGAAGUUGUUGUUUAAGGCGGGGCUUCGUACGUCGCUUGGCAACGGCCUAUGCGCUCCAUUGUUGCGAGCAUAUCCGUCCAGCUACAUCAAAGGAGAAACCGGGAAACAUUGCCGUUGUUCAGUCGCUUCGAUUGGAAUUUUAGCAGCUAGCAGUUCAUUGUAGCAUGGACAUGGAGAAGUUCAGUUCAGUGGGAAUCUUAGUUGGUGAAUUAACUGACACCGAUUUUAGGAUUUACUUCUUUCACAAUUAUUGAAACGCACAGGAGCGGAGGAAAUGGAAAUUGAUGCAACAGUUGCUGGAAUUGCUGGAAAAUAUACUGUUAAAUACAGUCGGAUGGUGUCUAUUGUUCCAGAUACAAGUCUAGAGGAAGCUCAUGCAACAGGAUUGACAAUAGGCUUUGAAACUUUUGUUUGCAAAAUCCAGAUUUGACUUUUUUGAUUUUCUGAGGACAAUUCAGGUGCGUCUAGAUAAUCAACGGAAUGGAAUUCUUCAUUUGAAUGUGUGGGAUACACAUUGAAUAUAUAUAUGCUAUCAUUACGAGCAUUACAGCGCAACCUUUAGACCAAACUUGAGAAUGCGGUGUUUUGGGAAAAGUAAACAACUUUUUCUUUUCGCCGUUUAGUGAAAGUUAGUUUCGAAAGAGUGUCAACAGAAUUGUUGAAAGGUUCACUCGAUAUCUCGUAAAUCUCCAACAUUUUUGCAAGAUUCAGUUGAUACGAAAUGUCAUCAGCAUCUACAACUGAGAAUACAUUUCAAUAAAACACC